UCCUGCUGCUGGUGGCCGCUGAAAUCUUUGUCCAACUGCUCCAGCAGACAGGAAGGGAAUCUGUGGCCAUCAUCUCCCUUUGCUCGUCUGAUACCAAUAUCUGCUCAGCUGCCAGACAUUGGUCAUCCAUCACUUUAUUUAAAUUCCAUUUUCUCAUUAUGAACUUGCUUCUGGUUCAGCCUUGUUCAUCCGGAUAGUCAGUGGGAGAAAAAAGAAAAUCUGGUACACCAAGAAACUGGGAAAAGUUCUGUGAAGAACUUUUCUGUGAAGCCUCACCAGGAGUGAGGCUGGUUUAACUCGUCCUUUAGCACGAAGACUAUAAGCUGAUAGAAAUGUGUGAAGGGAACUUUCCUUGCUCCAAGAUAGGAGUUUUUUUUAAGAAUUAUAACUCGCCUUUUCUGAGAACUUGGUGGGAGCUGGAGGUCAGAUGUGAGUAGUCUGCUGAGGUCCAGGCAAUGGGGAUUUUGAAAGGCUUUUUCUCCUCAGCAUUCCGGGAGUGGAUGAGAAGAAGUCUCCCCAUGGAAAGUUUAGGUUUUGGCAAAACACAACCGAGGAACAUUUUAAAUUCUUACCUGAGGUACAUGGGUACAGCAAAGAGAAAAUCCAAAAGAUUUAAGAAAGAAAGACAAAAAGCUUAAUAGCAAACAUCAGAGGAGAACUACUUUUUGGUAGUAGGGGAUGUGGGAGGUGAAUUACAUUGGCAGCAGUCUGCAGGACAAAUUCACAUGAAUGCAUGGGCCGUUUUCCUCUGCUCAUGGUCAAAUAUAGUGAAAGCGAUUCCCACUGCUUUAAAGCAAACAAACUGACAAAACUGAGUAUUGUUCAUGUGAAAGGCAGAUCCUACCAGGAGACACAAUACAGAGAAGGAGCAUGGUGCAACAGCAGUGAAAUCCAAGCAAACAAAAUUUAGAGUGAAAGGGACGUACUCAUGUGUGAUGGGGUGAAGAAAAGGAAGGUCUAAGAAAAAGCUAAACUCUUGUACAACACACCCUGGGGAAAUGUUCUUGGAGACCCGUGUUUAAAACUAGAAGUAACAAGGAAAAGUGCUCCAAGAACAUAACCAUCACUGAUACUGAGGCCAAAGGCUGCCUAGAGGGCACUUCCCAUUGCUGUUCCCAUCCCAUUUCUGUAGCUCUCUGCAGUGGUUUCAGAAAGAGCUGCUUUGCUCUCAAACUGGUUGAACAGGUGAAAAUAUUUAUUGCCUUGGAGUUUCUCUUCUGUGUUGUAUUUUUUUCUUGAUUAAGACACUGAUAGCCCAUAUGAGAUAGCUAUUUUACUGCAGUCAGCACUAUAACGUUCUAAUCAGAUGUAUUUAAACUGAAUCCUGUGCUUUGCAUUGAGGGUUUUCUUAGAAAACAGAGCACAACUUUAUUAUACUGCAUUGUAGAAUAAUGUAUUUAACACAGAAUCUCCAAUCAAUGGGAUAUAGAUUUUGUGGUUUUGUCUCUUGCUCUGUAUUUCAUACUCACACUGCACAUGCUUAGUGUUGGGUUUGACUCUGUUCCGAAUAUCAGAUAUAGUUGUUUAAAAUUCACAGAGCUGCACAGGUUUCACACUUGCCUGUGAAUAGCUGGUUGCUAUUAAAAGUACGUUCGUGGUGAAACAGUUCUCUGGUGUCUUAAAGCUGCCAGAAACCAUUAGUGCCUGCUGUUGUGUGAUAGUGGUAAUGUUGGAAAUGUCAUUUUAUGAUGUCUAUCACCUUAAAGACAAUGCAGUCUGUCUAUUUUUUGUUCUCGUGCUUUGAUGUUAUUCAAAUAUAUUUAUUUUAAAUACUUAUAAAUGUCAGUGGCUGCCGUUAGUAAUCUAUUUCAGAUGUCGCAUUGAAAGGUAAAAGCUCCCACCCCCAGGACAUUUGGGAGGGUGGAAAUAAAGUCUCAUAAUGAAGGCGAAUUGGGGACAGUAAGGAAGCAAGGGAACACCUGAGGCAAAGUUGUGUGUGCAUGUAAUUAGAUUAACUUUUAGGGCUUGAUUAAUUUUAGAGCUGUUCCCAAACUGAGGAAGGAGAAAACUGGGGUAAACAAAAAUAAAUAGCAAAGUAUAACUGAAAACAGUACUUGAUUUAAUUACCAUAAGACAUAUUUCCUGCUGGAAAAUAACAUAAUUAGUGGUAUAUUGAACUUAAACCUCUUCUAUGGUAGUUAUUAAAUUCCAUGACAUUUCAGCUUGAUUAACUUUUUAACAGAUAUGACUCGAGGCUUUUACAGUAAACCUUCUGAGGUGGAUGGGAUAUCUGAUGACCUACACUGCCGACAGUCCCAAUUAUUCAAACUGAAGAAAAUGUGUUGUAAAACCUCAUUAGCAGAAAGGAAACUGAUAGACUUAUUGCCUGAUUUUUCUCCUGUUUUGGUAUUGGGUGAGAUGAAAUGAGGAGUUGUAAAAGAAAGCAUCCUCCUGCCCCAGCGAGUAGAGCAACAAGGGGUUUUCUCAACUCCAGCAUUACCUCUGCCUUGAUGAUGCUAUUUUACAGGAGUUAAUUAUGCGUUUUGUAUAGGAUAUUUAUUUACAGGGGGUUAUUCUGUUUGCGAGAGCACUCCAGCUGCAUUUGGGAGUCCCUUUUCCUGUGCCUCCACUAACCUAUAGCUGUUCAGCGUAAUGGACAGAGUUGUACAGCAGCUUCUCUCCAUUUGAUAAGAAUGACAGCCUUGGGCAUAAUAAAGGGAAUGAGGCUUCAUGUAGGUAGAGAUUAAUUAGUUGCAUUUCUCAGGAAAAUAGUAAUAGAAAACCUUAUUUCAUGUCACAGCGCCUCAAAAGUGCUUCCCCAGUCCUGUGCACUCUCCAAAGAGCUGCCUCCUGAUAUGAGGUUUUUGUGCUGAGAUCCUGGAAAGAACAACCCAGUGUUACCAUUGCCAUUCGCACGGGCAAUUGGGGAUUUGAGGUGAACAUGUAGUUUAAAGCAGAAGAGCCUCUCCUCGUGUUGUUUAUCAAGCUCGAAGCACAUGGGCUGGAAGAAUCGGAUACACAACUGUUAAUAUUUUCCUCCUUGAUGUUGGAAAUAUUAUUUAUUUAUAUAUUUUAAAUGAAAUUAGUUCAAAGCCAUGUUAUCUCCCCAUUGCCCAUUCUGAUCUCUGAUUGUAUGUAGUUCCUAGGUUAGAGGAAACCAAUAUAAUAAUGUAAAAAUUAUUCCUAAAAUACUAAGACCGUGGUAUUAUUUUAUGGAUCUAUUUCAGGGUUUUUUUUUGAUCUUGACUUGUACCUCUGCUGCACAAACCCACUUGGUGUAAUGGCUGUAAAUAACUGCUGUUGAAGUAAAGUGUCCUGACUCUGUUACAUUUGGCCAUUGCAGGUCUGGACCAUCAUCCUGUUGGAAUCCAACUGCAGGGCACGUGCUUACCACCACAGAUGCCCAAGUGCUCCCAGGUCCAAAGCUGUGCAUUUCCAAAGUUUUAUCCAUUUAUAAGGCUUCACAAGAAUAAAAGAUGAAAAUGUAUCUAUAACCUGAGAGCCUUUCCUGGGAAAUAAGUACAAACCAUGGCAUUUAUAUCAAAUAUUUGGACAAUGUGUAUACAGUUUUCUUUGGAUGGGAUGUUGUUCCUUGAUUCUUUAGGAGUUUUCUCUGCAAGGGGUCACAGACAUUAAUCUAAUCAGUUCUAACUGUUAGUUGCCUUACCACACAGUACAUAGGGAAAACUAAAAUAAUCCAGGUAAAAAAGUUAAUUUUUGAAAAAUGUUUACAAAAUAGUGAACCUUAAUGGGAAACAAACCCAAAGAAAUAAAGCUCCGAACCAAAGUGAAAUUGGCUGAGUUAAUGAAUAAUGAUCAGGGAGACGAUGACAUUUGUAUCAAAUUGCUCUGUGCUCCAAAAUAUGAGAAUGAAUAUAAUGAAAGAUUAAUGGAAUUUGCUUUUGUCUUUCUGUAAAGAAGAAAAAAAAGGCUACUUAAACCAGUGGCGUGAUUGGUAUGCAUAUGAAGACACAAAGGUUAUGAAAAUAUGGCACAAUCUCCCCAAUUCUCUGAUUUAAUUAAGAUAAGCCUCUAAAGAAAAGAAUUAAAAGGGAUGCUUGUGGUAACGGUGAUUGAUAAACUCACGUGCCAUUUCUUGAAGGUGCAAAACAGCAGCAGUAAUGAAUGACUGCUCAAUACCACCAAAUGUCAGAUAGGAGCAGCUGAAAUCAGUUUGGAGGAAAAAAGGGACAUCAAUUUUACCAAAUCUGUGAGAAUAGCAGUUGAAUAGUGUAAGUGGAAGACCUCAUACUUUACAAGGAUGCACUGGGGCUGAGCUCUCCAGAGAUUUUUGACUGACCUCACAGUACAAACAGAGGACUUUUCCUGACAGUAUUUUUUUGUUUAGGUUGUUCCUGAGAGAUGGAAGUUUGUCUCAGCAGCCCUAUCACUGAUAUCUGUAGAGAAUAUAAAAAAAGAUAAAUUGCCAUACUUUAAACCAGAUCCUCAGAUAACACAGUAAUCCUGGGUAUGUCAAUGGCUUUUCUUGCCAUGAGAGCCCUUUUCCCAGUUGGAUUAAUACGAAGGCUUCAAUGGGGAAAAAGUAUGUGGCAAGGCACUUUCCAAGCUGUUCUCACUCCAUUCUUUGCUGAGGGUUUUGCCAAAUUCUGUAGGCUGCUCUAAAAAUUUCCUUAACUGCUUAGAAAUCCUUUGCUGCCAUUGGAUGGGGAUAAAAGUGUAACUUUUAAAUAAAAAACUAAGAUAAAGCAAUUCAUUGUUCUCCAUUUAAAGUACAGUAUGUUCACAUUAGCUCCCACCGGAGCACACAUUUAGGCCCCCGUUUGCAGUAGAUUCUUAUACUAGAAAUAUAGUUCCUGACAGCUUGAGGCUUUGUCAUCGCAAGAUGCACUGGGUCUUCUUUUUAGGGCUCAGCCUUACACAUCAGUUUCCUGCAUCAAAUGGAAAUUGUCCAUAAUUAAGGACCUUCCUGAACCUGCUCUGGACCAUCCCUGUGAGUCAGGGAGCAGAGACUGUGGCCCUAUCCCGGUCGAGCAAUGCCCAUGGUUGCCAUGGGUUGGCUCCUCCAUGACAAAACAUAAAGGCGUUCACCUUUCUUGAAGAAGGAAAUGGUUAACAAAUGAUCUGUGAGUGUCCAAGGAGGAAAAAGCUUUUGUGGCUGAACUAUCCCAUUUGUGUUUCUGAAGACAGAGCUCUUGUAUGAGAAGAUGCUGGAAAAGCUGAUCCUCUCACUGAGAUGGACAAGUUAGCAACUUAAGAGGAAAUUUGCUUCUAUCGUGAAGGAUAAAUGUGAACAAAAUCCUAUGAUGGAUAACUGCAAUUUGUGGAGCUGAGGUUGUCCAAGAUGAGGAGGAAGCUGCGGUGAAUACUUGAUGUGACCCUCUGCAGCUUCCACAAGAACAGAAGCUAGUUUGUUACACUAGCGGAGCCAAGCAAAUGGCUAUUUAUGAACUUUGUGGAGACUGAAAGGAAGAGAUGAGACUCAAAAAAGUCUUCCUACCAAGGUGGCUGGUGACAUAAAAAAAUUGAAACCUGCUAUGUGACUGAAGCUAAUGGGCCUUACAACAUCUCAAGUUCUCCUGCUGGGAACUAGAGACAAAUGCAGAAGGCUGAACAACCCCAACUCUCUCGGCCUGUCCUCAUGUGAAAGGUGCUCCAGCCCUCGGAUCAUCUUUGUAGCCUCCUCUGGACCCGUUCCAACAGCUCCAUCUCCUUCUUACGUUGAGGAUUCCAGAACUGGACACAGUAUUCCAGCAAGAGUUUUCCGCGUGACAAUUACUACAACUGCAAUUUGCUCUGGAAGUUUUAAAUUCAUCAGUGGAAAUUGCACCUGGCUGCCCAGCCUGAUGGACUGCCGAGACAGAGCGAUACAAUGAAGCACUCUCUUACGGAGUGGGGAGGCAGAAAGAAAAAGGAGCUGCAGACAAUCUUGUCUCCUGAAAAGUAUUUAUACGGGGCUUAAGAAGAAGGAAAGUGGAAGAAACCAUCAAGUUUCCAGGGCAGCUUCAGGAAGACGAUAGCCGGAGUUCAGAAUUAAGCAGCAAGUACCAAGAAGGAUGCUGUGGACUAAGGAGCAGCUGUUUCUAUAGAGACAUGCUAAUUUAGGAGCUUAAUUUAUCAUCUGGAAGAAUAUUAUGCUAGAUACAAGUUUUCACCAAAUCACUUCCUAGUGAAACCAAAGACUCACUCGCCUGCGGCUGCGCAGAGAUUCACUUUGUGUUCAAGUUUCUGCAUUUUCAGUGGUGUCAGGAUUUUGAUGUUCCCAGCCUGUGAACCUGGAGGAUAUCACUGCUGUUCUACCUUUGUGCUCUGCUCAUGGGGCUCCGGGCUAGACCCCAGAUUCUGGCAAGGAGAUAAAAGCACCCAAAACCUAACUACAAAACAUUUCAUGCCUGGCACUGCAAAGGUCGCAUGAUACAUGAGGUCAUUAUGGAGAAUUUGAGAUCAAAAUCGUCUUCUGGGGCUGCUAAUUUUGUGGCUCAGCUUGAGGCUUUUUCAGCAAAAACUGGUCAGAAGAGAUGAAAACUGAAGUUGUACCGUGAGAUGCAUCAAAUGAGAAGUACCCUGACUGCCGCUCUCCAUGGCCUCACAGUUUGCCUCCAGCAUUUAGCAGUCCACUGAACUCAGAGACGGUGCAUGAAUGCUCCUUUUUUGUGUCUUGGGACUCAUACUACUAUUAUGUGUGCUGCAUUCAACCAAUAAAAAGAUGCUGCAAGUGUCAAUAAUUACCAUCCUGGUGAAGCCAUGGGCAGUUGAGAAAAUCCACAUUUCAGCCAUUUCUUGAAGAUAAAGGCAUGCUGUUAUCUUCUACCCUAUGUUAAGAAAAACUCAAGGAGAGUCAAUUUGCUUCAAGAGGUUUCGUUGGGGAGGAUUUCCUGGAGCACAGCAAAGAACGCAUCUCCCAAGUCCUCAGCUAACACUGUUGUGGCUGUAUCAACUUUCCUCAUUAUUUUUCUCCUGCAGAGUAUUCUUAUAAACAAUACAAUAUAACAUGAGAUGAUAUAAUUUCCUUCUCUUUCUGUUUCUUUGCAUCUUCCCUUCAAAUUCAGGUAUUGUUCACAUCUGUCUCCCUAGGAUUUCUGUGGAUCUCUGAAGUAGUAAAUUAGGUAUUGGUGGAAAUCAGAGACAGGAAUAACAACAACAAAAAAUUAGGUUAUUUUCUGUUUCUCAGAUAUAAAGAGAGACUGUAACCCUAAUAGGUAUUAAUAUGACCAUUCUCAGAUCAAAAUGACACUGCAGUACUUUCACAGAUAUUUGGUGGUUUUUGAUGAAUGAACAUGAGCAGAAAGGAAAAUUAGAAAGUUGACAAUCAACAUCAGAUGUGUUAAUUUUCUGCAAUUUUUUCAUUUAUUUGCAAGAAACUUAAUAUAUAUCUUCUAUAGCUUUAUUGCUCCUUCUAUAAAAACUCUUAUAUACUCUACUUUUCUGUUCGGUGAACUGAAAUAACUGUCAAUAUAAAAACAUCUUCUCAUAAAAGCAUUGGGAACCAUUAUGGUAUAUUGUUAUGUACACUAGUAUUACCUAAGGAAACAUUUAAAGGUUUGAAUAGACAUUUUUUGGAAGGAGUGGAAAACGAAACCACUAAAUUAAAAAUACAAUUUUUCUUGAUUAAAUUCAAGAAGAUAUUUCAUCUAACAAAAUUCAUAUGCAUGAGGUGAAGAAAUAAUCCUUUAAUGAGAAACAAAGAAAAGAAACUCUUUUUUUUCAGUGUCCGGACUCACCUUCUCCGAUGUGCCUCCUUGUCUGUAAGACUGAAGCCUCAUCUUCUCUCCUUUCAGCGAUGUUUCCACUCACUGGACAGCAUACAUGGAUCCCACACGUUCUGGUCAGAUAUGCAGCCUUGUAAGGACACUGUUGUACCGCUUCGCCCCCUCCAAAAAAAAAGAAUCUCUGGAUCUUGUCGCAUAAAAAAAGCUAGGGCUGAGCAACUUUAUUGAGUGCUGCCUCCAUUCCUCCCAUCCGUUAAACAUGGAGAAUUACACUUGUGUACUACAACUACUCAGUUUAGAGUUCAGACUUGCGAACCAACUAAAAUGUCUGGAGCUCUGAUAAAUGCUUGUGCUGAUAUGUAGAGGAUGUGGAAGAAGAGGUAUUUCAUUAGAGUUUCAACAAUGAAAAAGGAGUUUGGGUGCCAUGGGCAAAAGGGAGAUGAACUGGGGAUAACUUACAAAAGAGAAUGGAUGACUGGAAGGAAAGCAUCUAUAAAGGAAGCACAGGAAAUAUGGAGAUGUUUAUGAAAGAAACGAAGAUCUGGGAGCUGGAGGACAAAAGGCUUUUCACCUUGCAAGAAAGGGAUGAAUAUUGAAAGAGAAGAGGAGAUGGAUCGGGAGCUCAUUUUUGAAGAUAUCCUUGUCAUUUAACAUCCAUCCAGCACAAGCUAUACUCAAGUUUAAGUGCUGUGUCAAGCAAAUGCAUGCCUUGAUGUUUUUCUGCUGUCUCCGACUCCUGUUUUGCUCUUGCUGCCGCAGCAGAAUGGGUCCUUGGUGUGCCAACCAUGUGCCUUGCGCUUUGCUGGUUGUGCUGUGAGUUAUCCUGGGGAUACAGCCAAGGGCCACGUCUGCCUCCUGGGACGUGAGCUCUAGGACAUCCCAGCAGCCAUGGGCACAACUUAGUUUCUCCUCCGUUUCUCAUCACUGACCUGUGGUGCAUGAGAUGCUUCUGCGUGUCAAAUGCAGGAGCCCCAUUUUGUUCGCCACUAUUCACUUUCUAAGCAUAAUAUACCCAUGUUUUCUAGAUUAAUGUAUGUGUCGUUGGAGCUUUGAACAUUAUGAAAUGAGGAAAAGUAACAGUUGUGAAAAAGAACACAAGAAUAGCCCCACUGAUGACUGUGGGAGUUUUGAUCAGGCAACGCUUACAGGAACAGGCUUGCAAGAGACCUCACUGCAGAGCACAAGAUAAUGAACUCAUGCUAAGAAACAGCUUGGAUUUUUAUGAUAGUCUAUUUUUGUAUUGGAUUUUAACAUUUGCUGGAUCAAGGUUUAACUAAUUUAUUGUCUAAGAGCCUGAGGCUGCACCAGAGAGCGCUGAGUGCGUGAUGGAGCUCAAAUCUCUCGGACGGAAGGAGAAGCCUGCAUGUAAUCAACACUUUGCAACAGAGUGCGUGACAGAAAUCCAGCUGGAGGAGCUGUGGGAGUGAGAAGCCCAUCUCAGGGAGAAAAAUCCCUGUGGGAAGAUGCACGCAGGGCAGUCAGUGCCUUUUGAAGCACCGGACACAGUCUUGAAAACAGCAGAAAUACUCAAUGGGAUGUUUUCUUCUUUGAAUUUUAAAUAUAAAGUUUGGCAGAUAAAAGUCUGGCUUGACUUAAGGAGUUACUGACUUUAUCCUGGAUGUAGAGCUGGCCUCAGAUUUGAUAAGAUGCCUGAAUACAACAAAACAUGUGAAUUAACAGCAAUAAUCAUGCACAAGUAGUCUGUAACUCAUGCAUUGACACCAAGUCUUAGAAUAAAGCUGUUACUAUUUCUUGCUUACUCCCCUCAGGUUAACUUUUUAUACUUCCAGGGACAUUUAUUGAAAAGGAAAAAGGCACUUGCUGUAUAGAACCCCUCCACACAAGUACAGCUCCAUGCGUGUUCAGGUUAGCGUAAUGACCCCAACAGUUACUGCUUACACCCUGCCCCAGAAAGCCCUUUCUGCACAUGCUUCACUUUGGUGCUUUAUUGCUCCUAAAGCCCCUGCCUUUCUUGGACAAUGUCCUCCUGCACUUUAUCAAGAUCUCUCUCCCUAUGAUAAAUGGUAAGAAAAUAAUGAAGUCUUUUAAAUUUCAUUUUAUAUGUAAAAAAUGCAAAUUGCCACAUAAACAUUUGAGUAAUGCCCCUGCCAUGGGUAUCGGCUGUGUUUCACUGCUGGUCAGGCUUCUGCUGGCUUGUGAUUUCCCAAGCAAUGUAGCUUGGCUGGAAGCUACUCAUAAUUCAUCAUUUUUGCCAUGUAAAAGUCAACAGCCCUCUUAUCACAGCAGGGAGAGGAGAGCACAGGAGGGAUUUGGCAAUGAACCGGCUGAUGCACAGAAAAGCAGGGAAGACUCCUUCAACAUGACAGGUGGUGUCCUAGGAAAGGGAAAGUCGACUUUUUAGAAAAGAAAGCAUCAGCACCUGUGUAUUCUAUAGUUGGUUCUCAUCAUCUACAAUUACGCAAGCAGUGCUGCUUUGUGUUUGAAAAGAGAAAGAGAGUGAAAUCCAGCAUCCCGAACUGGAGAACUUAUCACUUGAGAAGCCACUGAUCCCUUCCUGUGGUGAAGAAGAGACUGUAGAAAUUUUAAACAUGGAGAGAUGAUCACGUCGUUUACAGGGAGCAAAGCCAAAAACUUUAUUAUAGGCUAACAUCAAACUAUUGCUUGAGAUAUGGCAUUAGGGGGAUAUUCCCAGCAUGCAAAUAUCCCACAGAGGCAGAGAUAAGAACCGGAAUCUGUUGGAUCUGCUGCUCUCUGUCUACCUCCAAGUGCCUGCCAGGAUGUUCUUUUCACCCACACAGUGUGAAGCUCUUUCUGUCUCUUCCAGGAAACCCCCAAAUUUUUGUGUUUCAGAGGGCUCAAAGCACAGAUCAUGUUGUGCUCAAACUCCCGUUAUCAACAGAGAACACGCCGUGAACAUGGGGCAAAGCGUUCCCUGUUCAUGCAGCUCGUGCCUGGUCCAUACACCAACAACAUAACUUUGCACCCCUCAUGAGCACUCAGUGAUGCAGUUUUCUAUUAGGUUUUUCUUUGAAUGAAGUCUGGAUCAGUCUCUGCGAGAAAAAUGAGAUGUGAGUGAGAAUUUGUUCUUUGUUGGGUUUCUUCAGCCGUUAGAUUUCAGAUGUGAACUGCUCCUAUUUUAUUUUGUUCAUGAUUUGUAAUAGAGAAAAGGCUUUGGAAAUCCACUUGUUCUUUCCAAGUCCUAAAAAUCAGACACUUUCCAAAGCCCACAGCAUGGCUUUUGCAGCAGAUGACUCCUCCUGCCUAAUUCACACCGUGAAUCCUGUGACCGAUUCACACUGUGUGAAGAAAUAGUGAAUAAACAAUAUACAAAGUGUUUGAUACAGUAAUUCAGAUGGCCAAAAGCCUCCCACAAAACAUUACUUGUAAGGAAUUAAACAGUACCAGGCAAGAGGUAUGGCACUUCGAUUCUUGCCAAGACAUAGAGCAGAGGGAGGAGCUGAUGACCACCUGCCAGUGCAGCAGGAACUCAGCAGAGGGUGCCAAGAUGUGAAUUGGGGUCAGAGUUAUCCAGUGUGUCCUUAAAUGUUGGGGGAGGCAUAAAGAGAGAGGUGGUUGAGUGUGCCUGUGGCCAGAUAUUUCAGUUAUAUUGAGUGGGAAGACUGAGGGAAACUUCUGGAAGAUUUAAUAAGGAAGGAGGGAGAACGGCAGCAGGGCAGAUGAAAUGUUUUGCUGACAAAUGCAAAACAAUGCACAUUAGGAGGAAAAUAUGAACUACUGCUCACUGGUGAGUUCUAAAUUAGCUCUAAAAUUCAUGAAAAAGAGUUAGGCAUCAUCGCGGAGAGUUAAUAAAAAUAUCUGCUGAGUAGGCAGCAGCUUGCAAAAAAAAAAAAAACAAGCAAAACGUUCAGAUGUUUAAAGACUUGGAACAGAAGCUGCAACUAAAAUAUGAUGAUGAUGCCACCAUGCACAUGAACGGUAUUGCUUGAUUUCAAAGGCAGUGGUCCUGCUCUUGUACACAAAGUAGUGGAAAGAAAAGACCUGUUAAUCAGCAGCUACAGCCACCGAAAGAGCUGCAUGAAUUUAUACUGAAGAGAUUAUAGAAGAAUGACUCGGUUUGUGAGUCCCUGUGAUAAGUCCAGUCUUCCCCUUUUCUCCCUGUUCUGCAUCAGCUCCCAUGCAAGAGUGACUUUGCCGUGAUAUAGCCUACAUUAAAUUUGAAGUGAUUUCUACUAGUGCAAAACAAACCAGUCAUCAUCUUUUUAAUGUUUAUGUGGACUUUUUUCUUCUAAAGUGCAAAGGGUUUUUUUUGAUAAUUACUCAAAUAACAUUAUGAAAAUAAACUAAAAAAGAGCCAUAAAAGUACAAGUUGGAUGGUAAUUCUGCAUAUAGAAUCAUAGAAUCAUUUUGAUUUGAAAAGACCUUCAAGAUGAUAGAGUCAGGCUGCAAAGUUCAACAUUUAGUCCAAAGAACUGCUCACUGUAAAGCCAAAGGCAGGCCAUGAUGCUCAGUGCCUUGUUUGGCCAAGUUCUGAAAAUCCUGCAAAUACUAUGUGCCAAGAAUUACUCUCUCAUUAAAAAGCUGAUCUCCAGUCUGUAAAUUUAUUUUAUUCCAACUGCUACAUGAAAAGCCGUAAAACAAUUUAUGAGCUGAAAAAUGCUCAUCUUACUGCCACAGCAACUUGACAUAUGCCAACUUUAAUUCUGGCUUUCCUAAAGCCUCUGUGCAGCUUUGUGGAUGAAGGUGAGCUGUGAUGCUGUUUCAGCGUCUGUUCUAAGGAAGGAAUCUUCAUCGCAAAUAAAAGAUGAUGUCUGAUUUAUUCAUUGAAUUAUAAUUUUACAGACAAGUAUUUAAAAGGCUCUGCUGUUAUCAGUGCACAUACUUAAGUAGUAUCUGCUUAGAGAGAGGGAGAACUUGUUGUGGGUGGUACAAAGGACCUUCUAAGCACACCUCUGCAGUGUGGGGCUAUGCCUACAGUGCAAAGCAAACCCUCAUCUUUGCAUCCCCUCAGAGUAGAGGAGCACCAGGGUGUUUUAUCUGCUGAUGAUUUUAGGGGAAAUUAUCAGAAGAACAAGAAGUUUCUGCCAUCUGCUCAUUGGUGCAACUCAAAGUCUGCGUUUGGGUGAUUUCCUCAUAAGCUCUGGCUUUCCUCCUAAUGGUGGCCACCUGGUUCUGACAACUCAGCAGAGCAGGCUCUGCUGUACAGUCUCACACUGUGGCACAACCAGUUUAACAUCUUGUUCAACAUCUAAUCAAGCACCAAAUGCUUCAGGAGGAACAAAAAGCAAAAAAAGGGUUUGGACGAGAGAUCACCUGCACUUCAAUUAAGGCAUCCUUUUAAUCUUUCUUAACUAGUGAAUGAUUUAUGCUCAGAGUGAGAAGGCGUUUUAUACCUUCUGCAAGGGCUCAGGCUGCUGUGUCAAUGAACUGUCUAUUAGCUCCAGAUGUGGUUUAGUUCCUUUACAAACUCCACCCUCAGCCUCUGCUGUGCUCUGCUCCUUCUCUCUGAAAAGGUGUAGGGCUUUCCAGCUGCAGGACCGAAACUUCUGUUGCCCUAAAUACGCCCAUUCAACUCCUGGCGUGCCCAGACACCAUGCCAUGCUACUGUCUCUCAGCUGUCAGGGUCUCCAUCCUUUGUUUCUUCCCCUGAAGCUUUCAAACCCUGCCAGCCAGUCCAAUUCUUUUCCUCAUCAAAGACCCUGCUUCUAGCAUCCAGCCUAAAUUUACCUCUGUCCAUCCGAGGACCUCAUCCUCAAGCCAUUAAGAUUUUAUUCUCUUUCUGCUAUUUUAGUGCUUCGUAGUCUCUCUGUGCACAAAUGUUAAGAAAGCUCAGGCAGGGUCAUCACCUUUGAGCACUGUAUGCUAAUGCUGAUAAUCUGCUGGGCACUAACACAGAUGUCUAUGCAGUCUGCAGCACUUCCCAGAGCACUUGAAGUCCUAUUCUGCAUAUCUUCGGUUCAUUUCUCUUACAGCACUAAGUAAAAUACAAGCAAGAAAAGCAGAAAAACUAGACUUUAGGAGACCAUUUCUAGAAGGAAGGUGAAGCAGAGAUUCAAAAGCCACUUAGUGAGUUGAAAAGCCUUACAGGUGCAGCUGGAGCACUUUGUCGGGGAAGGAAUCCGUCCAGAUGCUGCUGCAGCAGCAUCCCGAUCGGGGCUUCUGGUGUCUGGUCUCAUGGGUUGAAAAUCUGUAGACUUAAGUUACGUUUAAUCGACACUUGUGAAUAUCAGAUGGCCACCACAACGCAAAGGGAUUCUUUUUACUUACUCUGUCAUCUCCUGUAAGAAUCAUAGAAUAGUUUGGGUUGGAAGGGACCUUAGAGAUCAUCUAGUUCCACCCCCCCUGAAAAAUCUCAGUACAGAGGUGAAGGAAUUCUCCUUCUCUUUGAUCUGAGCAAAACAAUGUUCUGUGCUAUUUGGAUAUGAUUUUCUUAUCACCUUUUCUGUAAAAAAAAACGAGUAAAAAAACAAGGGAAAUGACCAUACUUCAUACUACAAUUUUCUGUCCCUAGUAUUCUGUCAUUUCUGUAGUUGCUCAUUGUACGUACCUAAUUUGUCUUUAUUACAUCAGCAAAGUAAGGCUAAUAUUUAGACUUCGAGCAACACAUCCAAGAGUCAAAAAAACAGAUGCAUUUUUGUGACUCAUAAAUGAUACUUUUUUGUAGUCAGUGUAACAAAGACAUCAGCACUCUUAUCGGUAUCAUACACAUUGUAGACUGUUAAUAACAUUACCAAUCAGCUCUAAGAGUACUAUAGCAUAGUGUCUUGAAAAAUAUGCUGAAAAUAAUUAAAUUAAAUUAUUUACAAUCCAUAGUUAAUGGUGCAAGGCACAUGUGUAUUCUCCUUUGUUUAUGAUGCAUCCUAUCUUAAAGAAUAAAUAUGGUUUUUUUAAGGUACUUCAGUUUAUUUCAGCUGGACUCAGGAGCCUAAAUACCUUAAGAGCAUAAACCUACUAUUUUAUUUAUUAUUAUCAAAUACAAUUCAGUGAUCUCUGAAAAGCUUAUAACAUUCUCACAAUAGAUUUCAGGUUGGUUUUGGAGGAGUCUUUCUUCCUCAGGGCAGAGCUCUGUUUUGCUGCAUUUCAUUGCAAAUUUUACUGAAAUGCGAAGAACACUUUGAUUCAAGUAUUUGACACUGAUCUUUCAACAAAUUUCACUCUAAGAGCCAAAUUACGGAUUGUUUUGCUCAACGGCUGGUUGUAAAUGCCCAGGUGGCAGAGCAUGGCCCCAGUCCCAGAGGCAGCUCCCACUUUGUUUCUGAUUUUAUGGCAUAUAGCGAGAAAAGGCACAGAAGUUUCAUGGGCUUCUGGAUUACCUCCUCAAGUUAAUAAAUAUAUUUAUGGCUAUUGUGUCAGCCCAUGGAGGCAUGAACAUAGUUUCUACAUUACCUGUUGCAUAAUUUAUAAAGCAAGACCACAAGAUGGGCAACUGUGCAAGCCAAGGUGGGGAUGAACACUGUUUUGGCUCGCGGUGCAUCAUUGCUCCACAUCCUGGCAUGGAUGAUGGCACCUUUCUCUUUGACAGCCACUCAGACCAAAACUUUCUGCUGCCUACAACCUUUCUGAGAUCAACGGAGAAGAAAGAGAAGCACAGCAUACCAUGCAAUUGAGUUAUAUGGCAUAAAAUAAAUGCCAGCUAAGAGAGACAUCAUCCAAACCAGUUGGAAGGAUGAUAGCUUCUAGGACAUCAACAAAAGGUUUGCAAGUCACCUCAAGCCACCAGAGAUUGAAAAGUUCUUUCAGUCUAGUGACAAGUAAUACCUGUAACAAGUUGAGCUAUAGUGAGUAUAGUCUUAAACUGGGAUUUAUCUCAGUUUUAUCAGGCAGUAAUAACAAUUUGUGUGGAAAUUUCCUAAGGAGAACCAGUUGCAUGUCUGAGAAAUUGCUGAGCAAAUGGAUGGCUUCCCUCCCUCUGACUGUGAGCCAGGAGUGCUGUGCAGGUGCAGGUGGUAAGACCAAAGGGGGCUCUUGGUUGUCUGACACCAAUGCUUAAUCCCAUUCUUUAUUUUCUUUUCUGAGUGCAGCAUUUGCUCCUGCCUCCUUUGAAAUCAAUGGAUUCUGCUUUGGAAUAAAAGUCUGUCCGGGAUUAUCACAGGUUUCCAAUGUAGACAUACAUUUGUGUUUCAUAAAAUAUGUUGGGAUGGGAUAGAUCUACCAGUGUAACUGUCUUCUAAAUGUCACAUUUAAACACCUUUCUUACUCAUUGCUCCGAAUGGUUUCCUACUGGUGAGAUGUCUAAAAGGAAAAAUGUCAAUUUGCACUAUAUUUAAUAAUCUCUCUACAAUAACCAUCUUUUUAAUUUUGCCUUUUCUCUCCUUUUAUUAUACUACAAAGAGAAGACACCUGCUACACAGUUUCCAUACUAUAGUCAUAUAUGAAGAUUUCAAUUAGUAAACAGCUUGACUUGACAGUAAUGUUAGAAGACAGGAUUGAAGAAAUGUAAAGCAGGAAGAAUUCACAGAUAUGUUCUGUAGAACUUUGAAGUAUAUACUUGAAAUAUGUUCUUGAAAAUACGACCACAGCUUUAAAACCAUACCUAUCAUUUACUUCGUAACAGACAUAAAGUUAUCAUUUUCUUGUCAGCAAUUAGUCAGUCACCUCAAAUAACUAGACGUAUGAGACACUGAAAAAGUGAAUUCAGAGCACGCAGAUGGCUCAUAGAAGCCACAAAAUACGCACAGUUGUUUAAAGUUCAGGAGCGAAACAUUUAUUAUUGAAAAACUUAUUACUGUGCAACUGGAAGGUUAAGCACAUCAGAUCAUGUAGCAAUGCGGCAGUUAUGACACAGCACAUCACUAAAGUUUGUCAUUAUUAAGACAGUUCAGCUUUGUCACUGCUAGCAAGAGAUGCUGGGAUGUUCAUCUACAGCAAAGAAUUAUUAACAACCAACAUGAUACUUCAGAAAUAUACUUUAUUCAUUACUUCAGCAAUCGCAGUUUAAAGCACUUCCUAACAAGCUCGUAAAUGCACAGUCCGAUAUUAUACACAAAUGGUAUUUUAGCACUCUGAAAUGUCUCGGCACUGCAUUCCUAUGAAGUUUUCUCUGAUGGAUGGGAAGACUGCCAGCUUCUUAACAAGAGUGGCAAAGUGUGGGUUAGAGAAGUUGCGUUAGACUCCAUUGGUUUUAACUGCAGGGGUAAUUGAGAAUAAAAGCUAAACAGAUAGGUCAAAUCUAUUUUUUCAAGUAAUUAUGAGUGAUUCAUACAUAGAAAGUAGUGGUACUGAGAUAUAAGUGUAUGUAAAUUUUGGAAGUGAUUUCCUAGAGAAAAUUAUUGGGUUAACAGUAGUUUAGCAUCCUAAAAUUAGAAAUGAUUUUAAACUUAAUGUAUUUGGGGAAUAAUCUACUGCAUAGGAAAAUAUAUCUGUCUCGUUAGAAGCAAUUUAGGAACCAGAAAGCCUUUUUGAUUACUGUAAAUGGCUCCGAAAGAAAAACAUCUUAUUGCUGAUGUGCAUGACAGACGUGAACACACGCCUUAAUGAACAGCCUGAGUUUGGCAGAGCAGCAAGACAGAGUCAGCAUUUACCAUCGCUCACAGGGCCAAGAACCACUCCUGAAUUAAAAUAUUUUAAGGAACCGGGGAGUCAGGGGACCUUCAGACCAUCCACCCACACUUCACCAUCUCAGCAUUGAAGUCCCCUUUGUGAAAUUAAAUUCCUGCUGCAAGUUAAAUGAGAAUUUUUACCCUUAAGAUGUCACAACUGUUCUGUUCAUUGGUAUUCUCCUGGUACACAGCUGGGCUAAAGAAACUCUGCCAGAGUCACACAAGACUAUGCAGAAAAUAUUCCUGGAGCAUUUAAGGGCUGUUGGUAAGUGUGUGAGUUGGCCAAGAAAGCAGCUGCAGGGGUUUUGAGCCAUCUCCCUUCCCUAUAGUAUUUAUCCAAACAUGUCAGUGCAGUUGGUGCCCCUUUGCUCCCCCCUUGAGCUGCACCUCACCUGGUUGUUUUGCAGGACCUGGCUCACAACUACCUCAUUCUGGCAGAUGAAAACUUUAGCCAAAGCUCAUCAAGGGCACACAGCCCUAUGUAGUGUCUUGUCACAGCCAAUGAGCAGGGUAAAGAGUCCACCUAAAAGCAGAUUCUGUGCCAUACAGCAUGAG